rnacentral:rRNA from 1 species
UACGGAGGAUGCGAGCGUUAUCCGGAUUCAUUGGGUUUAAAGGGUGCGCAGGCGGGGGAUUAAGUCGGCGGUGAAAUUUUGCAGCUCAACUGUAAAAGUGCCUUCGAAACUGGUUUCCUUGAGUGUAGAUGAAGUAGGCGGAAUUUGUGGUGUAGCGGUGAAAUGCAUAGAUAUCACGAGGAACUCCGAUUGCGCAGGCAGCUUACUAAACUACUACUGACGCUCAGGCACGAAGGCGUGGGGAUCAAACAGGAUUAGAUACCCCGGUA